GGCCGUGGCUCAAUGGUAGAGCGUUCGACUCAAAUUCCAAAGGUCGCUGGUUCGAAUCCCAGUUGCGCCA
rnacentral:tRNA from 1 species